UACAGCGGUCCCAAGCGUUACUGAGAAUCACUGGGUUUAAAGGGUGCGUAGGUGGUCCGUUAAGUCAGUUGUGAAAUCCCCGGGCUCAACCCGGGAACUGCUUCUGAUACUGGCGGACUUGAGGCCAGUAGGGGUCACUAGAACUGACGGUGGAGCGGUGAAAUGCGUAGAUAUCGUCAGGAAUGCCGGUGGUGAAGACGGGUGACUGGGCUGGUUCUGACACUGAGGCACGAAAGCGUGGGGAGCGAACGGG
rnacentral:rRNA from 1 species